GGGGUUGUAGCUCAGUGGUAGUGUACUCACCUGGCAUGCGAGAGGCACUGGGUUCAAUCCUCAGCACCA
rnacentral:tRNA from 1 species